CUACUUUAAAGCUAUACAAAAUAUUUUAUCUUCUGACAAAGCGUAAUUACAAUAUUAACACUGUAAUAAGUGAUGCUAAAAUAAAAUUAAUGCCAAGUUUCUUUUUCUCUUUACUAGAAUAUAUGCUGCUAUAAAAUAAGAGCAAGUUUAAAAAGAUUAAAGCCACAUGUGCCGCUUGGAAGAAAUUGCAGUUCUCUACCAGGUACAAAUG
rnacentral:lncRNA from 1 species